rnacentral:lncRNA from 10 species
CACUGGGGCACAGGAAAAAAAUGCCAGAGAUGUCCACCCCUAAUUUUUUUCCUCUCCUCUUCUGGGUUUCUGUUGUAAUGGAUUGAAAAUACACAGGAGAUGUAAUGCAAAACUUGGCUUUGAUUUUUUUUUCCCACCUAACUCUUUAAAGGUUUGGAAAGAUUUGAUUACAUGGCAGGGAAAGUAAAAAUGUGGAUGAGAUAUCCUGACGCUCAGGCCACAUGACCAGGUGAUAAGGCGUUCAGAGACUGCCAGCGGCAGCUGCUGGCUCAGGUGCGGCCUGUGUGGGAGGACUCGUGUCUCGGUGGUUACAGAGAAGCUGGCUUCCACGGUGUGAACCCGACUGAAUCACAGGCCGCUUUUUUGUUCUCCCUCGGCCUUGGAGGGCCUGGGACGUUCCUGUUGCCCAACAUCCUGGUGAGCUGAGAACAUUCUGUAGAUUAAUUAGGUUCUCUCCUCUGGCUCAGCAGGUCUGUUCUAGCCAUUUGACCAAAGGCUCUCUGAUAUUUUCUACCAGCCUUAGAACGACAGUCUGCAGAUGUGUGCACAUAAAUGUCUGGGAGGAGCACACAGAUACUGUGGGAGGAGUGGGUCCGGCGUAGCUAUUGGGAGAUCUCGCUCGUACACAUGGCGCUACAUAGAAAGAAUGCCCUGAGGUGAAGGUGACAGCUCGGCAGUUUCUUAAUACCCUGAACUUGAGCGUGGCCUGCGCUAGAGAAAAUACACGGUGCUUCUUAAAAACAAAAGCCAGCAGCCUGCAAGAGGGCUGUGCCUGCGAGUUCCUGGGAGCAGGAGGGGGCUGUUCCUCCGCCCCUGGCUCCAGUUUCACCCAAGUCACUUCACAGCAGUUGGAAGGAGGUCACCAAUUGUUGAGUGUAGGCGGGGGGCGGGGAGGGAGAGGAAGAGGGAUGAAAAGGGAAGGCCCGGGUCAGCUGGGAGAGGAGCUCGCGGGCUUUCCGGCGGGCUGGCCUGAAGUGGAAGGGCCCAGGGCUGCCUGCCACCCUCAGAUGCCACGCAGGUGUUGGGAGGGCACCCGUCUGUGGGCUCAGGGACGUGUUCCCACCGACAGGCACAGAACGGAAAGCACCUUGGGGGAGACGCCCUUCUCCCCAUCUCAGGAGGGAGGCCGGGCCUGCAGACCUCCAGCCCUUCCCCAGCGCUCGCUGUGAGCUCCCCCCCCCCACCCGCCCCCCACGUGCUGGGGAGCAGGUCCGUUUCCCCACCAGUUUGCCUCUGGUCUUUGUGUUUGCUCUGAGGCCAGGCGCGCCCCCUGCUGCAGGCCUGGGCUCCUGUGUGGAGUUCUCCUUUCAGAUGUUGCUAAAAUGUCUUGAAAGGCUGCGGCCACACCAACAGACGUCGUCCGGCCUUCUUCACACGCAACGAAGCGCCCAGGUGGAAAUGCAUGUACCCGCGGCAGCUUCUCGGCAGCGGGCUUCCUGGGACGGAAGACACAGGCUCGCCCGAGGGAGACGGAAGCAGGGGAUCUGCUAGAACUCAGCUCGCCUCCUCCUUUCUCAGCAGGGCAGAGAAUCAUGGGCUUGUGCUGACGAAAGCUCCAGAAAAUGGACUCAUUUAACCUUUCCAAAGAUAUUAUCCAAGCUGCAAAAUCUUGGCAAUCUGAAGACCUUUUAAGUCGAUAUACCAAAGAGCUUUAGUCAGGAUUGAAUGCAAAAUGCCAAAAUUUCACUUUUAAAAUCAUCGUAACAUCUAAAUACAACCUAAGCACACUUGUAAACUGAUGCCGAACAGGCACUUGGAGAGCCCUCCCUGCACCCCUUCCUCGCCCCCUCCUUUGUGCAAAUGCUGUUUGCCCAGAACUUCAGCCACUGAAAAUCCUGGGAACUUUCUCUUCCUGGCUGCCAACCUAGCAGUUUGGACUCACAGACGAGAUUUUUAAAUCACUGAGGGAUUUAAGCCUCUCUGUGUCACAGAAAAGCGAACACCCUCCCAGUUGAAGGUGGCCCCAAAGAUGCGGGCCUGGGACCCAGGACUUCUGCAGGAGAGUGGACGCCUGGGUGCCCCCCGCCUUGCCCUGCACAUGAAAAGAAAAGAUUAAUGAAGCCCUGACGUAGAGGCAGAGAGCUCAACAGAAUCCAGUGACUCAAGGCGUGCGCAGAAGCAAUUUGCUUCUGAAACUCUAAACACCGUUCUUUAGUACUUCCUGACACUCCUCAGCAGCAAGCAAAUAAAUAUUUACAUGUGGAAGGAGACUGUCCUUUGAAAUGUAGGUUGUUCCAUUCAGAAGAGAAAUACGGCAAGGUGCCACUACUUUAGUGGCAACACGCGUUAUUAUUUAUGUUUUCCAGUUUGAAAAUCGUGCACUUUCUAUCAGGACCCUUAAAUGGUAAACACUGAUUCCCACGUGAAGCGAAUUAGUCCAGCAGCCACCCCCCCCUUGGUGGUUCAGGGACAACAGCAUAAGCUUUGACAAAUCACCCUUUGUUUUAUGCUUUGAUUACCUGGUGAGCUAAAAACAAUGAUAGUAAAAGCCUGGACCUGCCAUGUAUUCAGUCUGCAUUUGUUACUCUCCCCUUUCUUCCAUUUAUGAGUUUGUUCCCAAAAGAUUUUUUUAAAAAAAUUCUGACUUGAGUAACUUUUCCUCUGAUCUGAUCUGUUGUCAAAUUAGUGGGUGGCAGGAGAAAGCCAGUCACAUGAUAUCAUCGUUUCCUAUUCAAACAGACGGCUUUUUUUUUUUCAGUAAAAAUACUCGACUGCAAGACUAUGAGUGUGCAGAUAAUUCUGCUGCUUACUCCGAUUGGAGGUGUCUCCAGGGAGUUUCCAAGCACAGGAAGCAUUCCUGCUCUGAGGUUUCGGAAGAACACUUUCAGCAGGAUUUUGGGUCACUGAAAUGAAAGUGAACUAUGCUCUGUACAAAUGUAUCAUGUUUAAUUCAGGAGAAAUUCAUGCAUUUCUUUGUUCUAUAAAUAUUUACUGGCAGCUCGUUUUGUAUAGGAGGCUGCCACCUCCCAAAAGCCCCCUGCUCCUCGAGUGGGUUGAGCCUGAAACCCCACAUCCACAGACGUGCCCAGCGGCCUUGGGUGCUCAACACAGGCUCGUUCAGAAUAACAGAGUACACCAGUCAUCAUAAGAAGAAAAAUUCACAUUUAAAGUUUGGAAAGCAACAGGACAAAGGUCUGUCUUCAGUGGUGCGUAGACAUGCUCGUGAUUGAAUUGGAAAUAGUUCUCUUUCCUUCUCUCUGACUUCCUAACUGAAAAGCUGCAGCGUGGGGAGAAAGGCUGCUCAGAAGCCUGGAGCCAGAACACGCACCCCGGCUUUUGCAGGGCCGGCUCACUUGGUUAGAAUCAAAGGAAAAGCCUUGUUAUUUGGGAAGCUGGGCGUCCUCACCAAAUUAGGGGAUUUAAUUUGCAGAUAUCUAAGGAGUGCUUUGAAAUGAAAGAUGAACUAAAAUCUGCUCUGAGGCCCGUGAUUUUUCACCAGUGAAGGACUCUCUUGCUGCUGGACAUACAUGAAAAGCAUCAUCUGAUCUGAAACGCAAGUCCCUGCAAGACAGAGGAGAGACUUUAUAAACAUUUUAUACCAUUCUAUGAAAUCAAUUCGAUUCAGGGCUAGAAUUCAAGAAGUAAUCCAUGGGCAAGUAUAUCUGAUGGUAAACCCAAACGAUUAUAUUGUUAACCUCUUGUACUUUUUUUAAUUUUUUAUUAUUUGAUAUUAUUAUCACAAAAGUCGCUGGAACAGGAUCCAUGAGCUGCUUCUUCACUGCUUAGUGUUUUCAGAAGCUGAUGGAUUAUUAAGCUCCAAUUGAAUACUUGAUUUCCAAUGAUUCCAUUAAUUUUUCUGGUUUGUGGUAGGAUUUGAUUUACUUAUUUUGUACUUUAACACACCAAUAAAAAAUAGAUACUAAGAAAUAGUGAAAUUUGUUGCUUCAAAAUAACCCUUAAAAUUUAGAGUUUAGUGAAAUUAAGCAAUUCAAAUAGAGAAACGAUUAUCCUUCAUUUCCUUAAGGCACAGAAAUUGAGACUAGGUUCAAGAACCUUCAUAUUUUAAAAACUGGAAAAUACUGGCUAAGUGAGGACUGGGCGGUCAUCCUCCACACAUGCUCUGUGUGCUUGGAGCGAAGAGGGGAACGCACUGAAUGAGAUGAACUGGAAGGAGGUGCAGCAGCGAAGGAAAUCCUUCUGUUGGGAGAGUUCACGUGUUUAGGAUAAUCCUUCGAAUAGGACGCAACAGUGAUGUGAGGAGAAGCUUUGGAGCUGAUUUAGAUUGAGACAGUCUAUCACAGGCUGUUUGGUUGCAUCCCUUUGGGGCCAGUCUCAUUUUAGGUCUAAAUAUGCAGGAAUGGGGCUCUGGCUUCCAGAAGUUUCAGGCUGCAAAAGGCUGGGGCCACCAUCUUUACAGAUAAUCCAUUAGUUUGAUUCUCUUGGGGGCCAGGAAGAAAACCAAGAACACUCAAUGGACUAUGGGACUCAAAUAAUCCACAGGAGGCGUUUGUAAAGGGGCAAAACUGUGUGUGCCCAGUAAUUCUUGGAGCUCGCAAUAGAGGUGGAGAAGCAGUGAUGGGCCCCACAGCAGCAGGGGCUUGGGAAUGACGGAAAAGAACAAAAUGAUGGAAGGACAGCUGGAAGAAACAGGGAAGCUUCCUUUUAACUGGAUGCUGGGUCUCAGCCUUGAAUAGUUCCUGGCCUUCGGAGGCCUUUUCUCAGGGAGCAUGGCCUGGGGACUCCCUGCUUGCUCUGCUGAGCUUUCAGGGAAGGAGAAAUGGGCAAGGCCAGAGGCGACCAUCAGGUGCUCCGUAGGCACAGAGGCAGAACUCAAGGUUUAGCUUUACCUUAAGAGGGUGACUGCAAAGUGUGCUCCCUGGACCAGGGGCCUCGGCCUCACCUGGGAGCUUGCUAAAAAUGCAAGUUGCUCUCACCCAGACUGAAUCUAAAAUUCUGGGUACAGCCCAGCAAUCUCUGCUCACACUUUCUCCAGAUGAUUCUGGUGCAAGCUAACCUUUCAAAAGUCCUGGGUCCCAUUCCCAGAGGCUGUGAUUAAGUUGGUCUAGGGCUGUGGCCUAGACCUGGGGAUUUUGGAAGCCCACAGGUGAUUCUGUUGUGCAGCCAUGGUUGGCAGGCUGUUCACGGUGCUGUUCAACAGGUCCUGCUGUGGGAUGGAAAGGGUCUGUAUCUGCACUGGCCAAUGUGGGAGCCAGCCCUGUGGCUAUUGAGCACUUGGCCCCUGGCUAGUGCAACUGAGGAGCUGAAUUUUUCAUUUCAUUUACUUUUAAUUAAGUUUAAAUAGCUAAAUGUGGCUAUUGUCUGCCUUAUUGGAUAGCAGAGUUCUAGAACCACAGAUAAAUGUAAUACUGUCCCUUUAGUUGAUUUAAAAAUCCAAUGCCUCUGUAAUCCUAGCACUUUGGGAGGCCAAGGUGGGCUGAUCACGAGGUCAAGAGAUCGAGACCAUUCUUGCCAACAUGGUGAAACCCCGUCUCUACUAAAAAUACAAAAAUUAGCCGGGCAUGGUGGCAGGCACCUGUAAUCCCAGCUACUCGGGAGGCUGAGGCAGGAGAAUCACUUGAACCCACGAGGCGGAGCUUGCAGUGAGCCAAGAUUGCACCACUGCACUCCAGCCUGGUGACAGACGGAGAUUCUGUCUCAAAAAAAAAUGCCUCACAGAGUUAAAUAUUUAAGUUGAUAAGAAAAAUGGUAGUCGAGUCUUUGAGGAUUAUUUUAAAAUCCACUUUUGGUGAUAAAUAGAUAAAAACAGUGUGGUAGGGCCCAGAAGUUCUUCCUGAUUUCUACCUGUUGGAGCUGAAUUCCUCAAUUUUACUUGUAGGAGAACGGCUUCCUAAAGGGCACCUUACCCAGCCAUUCCUGCAUGCAAGUGUGUAUGAGAACUGCAGGGGGCAUUAUAUGAAAAUCCAAUUCCUGGGCUCUAUCCCAGAUGUUCCUAUCCAAUAGGUCUGGGUUGGGGCCCUGGAAACUGCAUUUUUGGCAAACCCCUUACUGAUUUGGAUGCACAAGUUUCAAGGAACAGGCACUAAGGAUCGCUGAUGUAGAAUCUGUUUGUCCAUCCAGGAAAGCCAGAGUCACCACACUUGAGUAAAUGGGUUUUGAUGUAGGAAAGGUCUUUAUAAUUCUUUCAUGAAUUCACCAAACUUUAAAAACUGUACUAUUUUUGGCUGGGCUUGGUGGCUCACGCCUGUAAUCUCAGCACUUUGGGGGCCAAGGCGGGUGGAUCAUGAGGUCAGGAGAUCGAGACCAUCCUGGCUAACACGGUGAAAACCUGUCUCUACGAAAAAUACAAAAAAAAAAAAUUAGCCGGGCGUGGUGGCGGGUGCCUGUAGUCCCAGCUACUCAGGAGGCUGAGGCAGGAGAAUGGCGUGAACCC